rnacentral:lncRNA from 1 species
CUUUGUGACAAUCAUGGAGGCCUACUAUCGAGAUUCUGGCCAACUUAUGAAUCUGUAGAAGUCUACGGUUACCUUCAGCCCCAAGAUAAAGAUCCAGAUGAAGCAAGCAAUUUGGGAUAGGCUUGAGAUUCCUGAGUAGACCGAGAUCUUAACCUACCUGGGAUUUUCUAUCAUAGGGUGGAGACUUUGAAGGGCUGAUUGCAGACCCAUGG